rnacentral:lncRNA from 1 species
CUUGGGGAUGUAUUGAACGGGAUUUUGAGGAGGCUAUUUUGGAAUUCUUCUCUUCGGGAUCUAUUCUUAAGCAAAUAAACCAUGCGGUCAUUGCUUUGGUGCCAAAAUCUUCUCAUGCACCUACCAUGGAGGAUUAUAGACCGAUCUCUUGUUGCAAUGUAACAUAUAAGGUAAUAGCAAAAAUCCUUGCAUCUAGGUUUAGGCCUAUUUUGGGGGACAUUGUUGACCAAGCUCAAGCCGCUUUCAUUGAAGGUAGAAGCAUGAUGGAGAAUAUACAUCUUGCCCAAGAGCUCAUGAGACAAUAUAAUAGGAAGAGAGUUGCCCCUAGAUGUCUCCUUAAGAUCGAUUUGAGGAAAGCCUAUGACUCCAUUAGUUGGAACUUUCUCAAUGGUGUACUUGAAGGUUUGAAUUUUCCUCCAAGAUUUAUUUGAUGGAUUAUGGAGUGUGUUACCACUCCAACAUACUCUAUUGCUUUGAAUGGGAGUAUAAACGGUUUCUUCAAAGGUGGUAAGGGUCUUAGGCAAAGUGAUCCUCUUUCUCCUUUCCUAGUUGUGCUUUGUCUUGAAUACUUUUCGAGGAUGGUAAAGGAUGCUACUUCGAAUAGUAAUUUUAAUUACCACCCCAAGUGUGGAGCCAUUAAGUUAACACACUUGACUUUUGCCGAUGAUUUGAUGCUUUUUGCUCGGGGUGAUAUUAUGUCCAUUCAAAUUCUCAUGAAUUGCCUUCUGAGGUUUGGUCUUACUUCGGGUUUGAAGAUAAAUUUUCUGAAAUCUGCCAUCUAUACAACUGGGAUUACAGGGUAUGAGCUUCAAAGAAUCAUGGAAAUUACGGAUUUUUCGAAGGGAUCUAUGCCGUUUCGUUAUUUGGGUAUCCCUCUUGCUUCGGAGAAGCUUAAGGUGAGCUCUUACGCUCCAUUCCUUGAUAAAAUUGUGGGUUAUAUUGGGGGUUGGAAUUGCUCCCCCCUUUCUUAUGCCGGCAAAGUGGAACUUAUUCGGGCGGUGCUUCAAGGAGUUGAAUGCUUUUGGCUUUCUAUUUUCCCUAUUCCGGCUACAAUUAUUUCUAGAAUUGUUAGCCUUUGUCGGUCAUUUCUUUGGGAAAAUAAAAGGGCAUUAGUUGCGUGGAAACAUUUGUGCCUACCGAAGGAAGAAGGGGGACUUGGAUUAAAGGACUUAAAGUUGGAAUUUAGCGCUUCUUGCUAAAUCCCUAUGGAACAUUCAUCAAAAUAAGGAGACCCUUUGGAUUAGGUGGAUUCAUCACGUUUAUCUUAAGGGGACUAACAUUUGGGAGGUUCGAGCAAGGAAAGAUCACUCACCACUUUUCAGAAAAAUUCUGGAAAUCCGUGACUGUCUAGUUAACGAUGGAGUUGCCGGGCAGAAUUUUCUUUGGGGGGAGGUGCAGCGUGCUGGACAUUCUUUUUCUGAUAAUUUUACACCUCAUACAGCAGUUUCAGGGGCAUUUUUUCUUAUGGACCAGCCUCAACAUGAGGGCCGAAUUGGACAGAAUUAUGGCAGUCCUUUACACAGCAAACAGGUUCAUUCGGUAGGCAGUUUCUGGGUUUUUCAAACGAAAAUCUGGGCAGAUUGGCUGGGGAUAAAUUCAAUACAAAAAUUGCCUAUCAUUUCUUUAGGCCUAAGGGUACUUUCAAGCCUUGGGAAACCGAAGUUUGGAGGUCGUGCAUCACUCCGAAGCAUUCUUUUAUGCUUUAGUUAGGGGCCCAAUCAAAGCUCCUAACCAAAGAUAAAUUGGUCUACUUGGAUAUUGAUCACAAGUGUGUACUUUGUGGCUGUUUUGAGGAAACUUGUGAGCAUCUUUUCUUCAAAUGCUCUUUCACAUCUUCAUUAUGGGGGAGCAUUAGGAGAUGACUUGGUAUCACAAGAUCUAUGUCGACACUUGCUAUGGCGCUUAAGUGGAUGAAAAAGGAGAACCGUGGAACUUAGUGGCUUAGCAAAGCCAAGAGAGUUACUCUUGCUAGCACAAUAUACUAUAUCUGGCUUACGAGGAAUAGGAUGAUUUUUGAAGACCUCCCGGCCGACUUGGAUUCCAUUGCUAGAAUGAUCAAGACACACGUAUACAAAGUUAUGUUUACUUUAUAUCCGAAUGUCUUGAUUAUUUUUGAAUCCUUGGCUAUGGAUCGUUGAUCCGUUUUCUUAUUUACUUUCUUUGUUUCACCUGGGUAUGCCCGGAGUAUAUAUUAUAGUUUUGGACAGUGAUUUGCCCAGGUAUGCCCGGUGUACUUGUUUUGAUUCUUGACUUUGUUUCGCUCGGGUAUGCCGGGUUUAUUUGUACAUGGUACAGUUUUGAUCAAUAUAUUCACAUUUACCGAUAAAAAAAAAAAGGAGGUAUAACUGGAUCACGAAGUUAGACACAAACUAUAACAUUGAUAUUACAGGAGAGAGAUUACAAAUCUUGGAGAUGUGAAGUACGAUCUCCAAGCUGAGUAUUUUUAGCCACACAUUAAUGGACCGACCCGAGUUGGCUUGGCCCUUGCAAACAACUUGAUACGUAUAUGAAUUUUUUAAAAAGCGAAUGAUAUUAGAAAAAAAGACAAAUUAUGAAGAACAUAAAUUUCGUUUAUUGCCUUUACUAUUUCUUCUUUGAGACUUGAUUUGGACUUGGAACAAAACUUUGCCACGUGCACUAAAAAUGGACUCCAAUAUAAGUUUGCAUAAGAUUGAGUUGAGCUCAGGAUCGUGCCCAAAAUAUGGGCUCAGCUCGCACUAAGCUCGUGGGCCUCAUAAGCCGAUUUGCAGACGAGCAAACUCGAUUUUCGUUAGAUAAAUUAACAAAAUAAGCCCCAAAAUGAGCCCUUUAAAAAAAAUUAAUAAGAUAAAUUCAAAAAAUGAGCUAACUGACGAGCCCAUAUGAGCUACUGCAUGCCCACGAAUCCAAUCAAGUCAACUCAUGAAAAAUAAUGUGAGCUCGGCUCGUCUCAUGGAAACAAUGGGAUACUAAAGCAAGUUAAUUUUUCAAAAUUUAAUUAAGUCUAAAUCUAAUGCAUUUCUCGGGUCUACCAUUGUAAGCAUGAUGGAAGUAAAAUAUCUAGCUAAUUUUAUUGGUAUUUUCCAUGUGGAUACAUUUGAGGUAUUUCGGUUGUGGGAAGAAGAAGUGCCGGUAUAUGCAUUCAUUUUNAAAAAUUCUGGAAAUCCGUGACUGUCUAGUUAACGAUGGAGUUGCCGGGCAGAAUUUUCUUUGGGGGGAGGUGCAGCGUGCUGGACAUUCUUUUUCUGAUAAUUUUACACCUCAUACAGCAGUUUCAGGGGCGUUUUUGCUUAUGGACUAGCCUCAACAUGAGGGCCGAAUUGGACAGAAUUAUGGCAGUCCUUUACACAGGCAAACAGAUUCAUUCGGUAGGCAGUUUCUGGGUUUUUAAAAACGAAAAUCUGGGCAGAUUGGCUGGGGAUAAAUUCAAUACAAAAAUUGCCUAUCAUUUCUUUAGGCCUAAUGGUACUUUCAAGCCUUGGGGAACCGAAGUUUGGAGGUCGUGCAUCACUCCAAAGCAUUCUUUUAUGCUUUGAUUAGGGGCCCAAUUAAAGCUCCUAACCAAAGAUAAAUUGGUCUACUUGGAUAUUGAUCACAAGUGUGUACUUUGUCGCUGUUUUGAGGAAACUUGUGAGCAUCUUUUCUUCAAAUGCUCUUUCACAUCUUCAUUAUGAGGGAGCAUUAGGAGAUGGCUUGGCAUCACAAGAUCUAUGUCGACACUUGCUAUGGCGCUUAAGUGGAUGAAAAAGGAGAACCGUGGAAUUUCGUGGCUUAGCAAAGCCAAGAGAGUUGCUCUUGCUAGCACAGUAAACUAUAUCUGGCUUACGAGGAAUAGGAUGAUUUUUGAAGACCUCCCGGCCAACUUGGAUUCCAUUGCUAGAAGGAUCAAGACACACGUAUACAAAGUUAUGUUCACUUUAUAUCCGAAUGUCUUGAUUAUUUUUGAAUCCUUGGCUAUGGAUCGUUG